GCUUUCGUAGUGUAGUGGUUAUCACGUCUGCUUUACACGCACAAGAUCCCAGGUUCGAUCCCCGGCGAGAGCA
rnacentral:tRNA from 1 species